rfam:Strongyloides venezuelensis genome assembly, scaffold: SVE_scaffold0000035
GCAGUCAUGUCCGAGCGGUUAAGGAGAGUGAUUAGAAAUCACUUGGGCUUUGCCCGCGCAGGUUCGAAUCCUGCUGACUGCG